AUUUUCAGAGAAAUAGAGGGAGAACGUGAAAAGAGAGUUAAAGUGAAAUAGAUCUAGGUCUUCGACGGUGGUGCUUGUGUUUUAUAGUAGUUGCGGUUCAAGGCUUCAAGCGACAUUGAUGACACCGGUUUUCGAACAUAGCAGAGGCGGUGCAACCAUUGGCUGAGGUCUCGCGGUGGUCUUUGACAUCACAAACAUAUCUGGUUGUGGCAACGACUUAUUGUUGAAGAUGGGAGGUUGCCUUGUGCUUAGGAGCACAGAGCACUCGUACUUGAAUAGACCAUGGUAUGCUUUAGGUCUGCUUCUCAUUUGCAAACCAUAGACGGCAAGAUGAAAUAGGUCACAACGAUUUCUGUUUGAAACAAAUUACUUUUAGUAUGGUUGAAAACGGCCUGUGUUAUGAAUGUACUAAUAUGUGUUUCUCGUUUAGCCUCAUUUCUUAAUUUGGUAUUGCCUUGUGGCUUACAAAAAAAGUAUUGAUUUGGUUUUUAAUCUCUUUUGGGUAUCCCUUUCUUCUUGAACGAUAGAUAGUUAUGACUGAUUUUAGUGGUUAGUAGGAAGGAUAAUUCAGAUGAAACCGGUAAAACACAUCUCAGUUGUCGUUCUCUUCAGAGCUUUUAUCUGACCAUGUCUUUUUAAUUACCUAUAUUGGAACUGGACUAAAAGAUGAAACAAAGUUAGUAUCUGAUUUAUUUAUUUUUUAUUGUAAUUUAAAUCUGUUAGUUUCUUGUUUGUUUCUUGCCCCUUUGAAUUUUGGAUUGUUCAAAUAUGCUGGAAACAUAUAAAAGUUUGUCUUGUUGGUUCUUAUGUGAACUUUGCAUUUCUCGCACAAGGUUUGCUGAGAUGCCUAGUUCACCCUCAUAAAAGAUUUAGCUAGAAUAAAUUUUUGGAUGCUGACAGGAGACAAGAAGAAUACGACCAUACGUAUUACUUUUUCAUGUAAUUUUGUUUCUCCAGGUAGGCCAUUUACGUACGCAAACUAUAUUUAUAUGCUUAUAACAUAGAAUUGAAGCCUGUCAACUUGGAAUAUCGUGAAUGGUUGUUUAUAUAGAAUUAUAUCUCUAACUUCUAUGCUUAGAUUUUUAGGUUUUGGCAACUUAUUUACUAGAAUUGUGCAGAACCAAAGAGACAACUUCUACUAAUUAAUAGGAAAAUAGAUGAUGAAGUUUCCAGAAAUCUUGCAAGAUUUUGCUUAUAAUGAGAACAACAAAAGCAGAACCAAGGGUUAAAGAAGCUUAAAUUUGCAAAAGGAGCAAAAAGACAGCAAAAACCAAGAUAAAAGUAAAGAAGGAGGAAUUGCCGCUACUCGCUAAGCCCCGAUUCACAUCCAAACCACAAAAUAGCAAGAACAGAAGGCUGUCAUGGGGUCGUGUCCACCAGACAUGGGCCGUGUCCGAAGUUGGAUGCUGGGCAGAAGCAAAGACAACUGCAAAAGACAAAAAUAACAACCAACACGGGGCCGUGCUAAGCCAAAACGGGGUGUGGUCAACUCAAAGAUUUUCAGAAUAUGCGUUAGUACAGCAAGUACUUUUGCCACGGGCCAUGCCGUUGACACACGGGGCCGUGUUAGUACAAUAUCUGACAAGCAGUUAAUGAGGAAGAGAGAGAUAGAGAUGGGCACGGGGCUGUGCCAGCCGAGCACGGGCUGUGCUGAAGCUUCUGAAGACACCUAUAAAUAGAAGUGAUUGGUUCCACUUCAACUAUAACAACCCUCCUAAAAUUUUUUCGACACCCCUACUAUAUUUAGAGUGCCCCUAUACGUCCUAAAAAUACACCCCGUAUACGAGAAUUGGCCCUAAAUACCUUUAGUUUCACAAAAACUAAUUAAAAACAAAAUUAUA
rnacentral:lncRNA from 1 species